rnacentral:rRNA from 1 species
ACGAACGCUGGCGGCAUGCCUAACACAUGCAAGUCGAACGAGACCUUCGGGUCUAGUGGCGCACGGGUGCGUAACGCGUGGGAACCUGCCCUUAGGUUCGGAAUAACUCCCCGAAAGGGGUGCUAAUACCGGAUAAUGUCUUCGGACCAAAGAUUUAUCGCCUUUGGAUGGGCCCGCGUUGGAUUAGCUAGUUGGUAGGGUAAAAGCCUACCAAGGCGACGAUCCAUAGCUGGUCUGAGAGGAUGAUCAGCCACACUGGGACUGAGACACGGCCCAGACUCCUACGGGAAGCAGCAGUGGGGAAUAUUGGACAAUGGGCGAAAGCCUGAUCCAGCAAUGCCGCGUGAGUGAUGAAGGCCUCAGGGUUGUAAAGCUCUUUUACCCGGGAUGAUAAUGACAGUACCGGGAGAAUAAGCUCCGGCUAACUCCGUG